rnacentral:rRNA from 1 species
AUUGAACGCUGGCGGCAUGGCUAAAACAUGCAAGUCGAACGGACCCGCAAGGGUUAGUGGCGGAAGGGUGAGGAAUAGUAUCGAACGUACCCUGAGGUGGGAGAUAGGCAUGGGAAACUGUGCGUAAUACCCCAUGAUCUCGGAAGAGCAAAGGCGCAAGUCGCCUUGGGAGCGGCGAUAUUCCUAUCAGGUAGUUGGCGGGGUAAUGGCCCACCAAGCCGAAGACGGGUAGCAGGGUGUGAGAGCACGGCCUGCCACAUCGAGACUGAGACACUGCUCGGACUCCUACGGGAGGCUGCAGUAACGAAUAUUCCGCAAUGCACGAAAGUGUGACGGAGCAAUGCCGCGUGCAGGAUGAAAGCAGCUUCGCUGUGUAAACUGCUGUCAGGAGUUACUAACACUGAAGAACUCCAGAGGAAGGACCGGCGUAAUCUCGUGCCAGCAGCCGCGGUAAU